UAUUGGACAAUGGGCGCAAGCCUGAUCCAGCAAUACCGCGUGUGUGAAGAAGGCCUUAGGGUUGUAAAGCACUUUCAAUUGGGAGGAAAACCUGCCGGUCAAUACCCGGUAGCUUGACAUUACCUUUAGAAGAAGCACCGGCUAACUCCGUGCCAGCAGCCGCGGUAAUACGGAGGGUGCGAGCGUUAAUCGGAAUUACUGGGCGUAAAGCGUGCGUAGGCGGUUCGUUAAGUCAGAUGUGAAAGCCCUGGGCUCAACCUGGGAACUGCAUUUGAAACUGGCGGACUAGAGUUUAGUAGAGGGGAGUGGAAUUUCAGGUGUAGCGGUGAAAUGCGUAGAUAUUUGAAGGAACACCAGUGGCGAAGGCGACUCCCUGGACUAGAACUGACGCUGAAUGCGAGA
rnacentral:rRNA from 1 species